rnacentral:tRNA from 2 species
GGGGGAAUGCCGAUGGAACUACAUCACUACUAAUGAGGAGGUCGCGGGUUCGAGUCCCGCCGGUUCCGCCACCA